GCGCGCACGUGACCCCUGGGCACCUGACGCUGCGGGCUCUGGAGGAACAUGGCGCUGUGGGCUUGUUCAGUUGUUCCCGCCCUCAGGCUUUGGGGCCUGGGAGGUGCGCGGCCCUGGACCCGCCGGCCUCGUAUUGCAGGUGGAGGAAGGCCCAUAUCUUUUUCUGCCGGUGUCUCAAGUGUCUCUGGAAGUGGAGGCCACAGUCAGAAGUUUCUCCUGCAGGACAUUGCUGAGCUGAUUAAAACCAGAGCCUGCCAGAGGGUGGUGGUCAUGGUGGGGGCCGGCAUCAGCACACCCAGCGGCGUCCCAGACUUCAGAUCUCCAGGGACUGGAUACUACAGCAACCUCCAGCAGUACAAGAUCCCCUACCCCGAGGCCAUUUUUGAGCUCUCAUUUUUCUUUCGCGAUCCCACGCCGUUUUUCACUUUUGCCAAGGAGCUGUACCCUGGGAACUAUAGGCCUAAUGCCACUCACUACUUCCUGCGACUGCUCCAUGACAAGGGGCUGCUUCUGCGGCUCUACACACAGAACAUCGAUGGGCUUGAGAGAGCGUCUGGCAUCCCUGCCUCAAAGCUCGUUGAAGCUCAUGGAUCCUUUGCCUCUGCCACCUGCACCGUCUGCCGAAGACCCUUCCCAGGGGAGGACUUUUGGGCCGACGUGAUGGUGGACACGGUCCCACGCUGCCCGGUCUGCACUGGCGUUGUGAAGCCCGACAUCGUAUUCUUUGGGGAGAUGCUGCCCCACAGGUUCCUGCUGCAUCUGGCUGACUUCCCCAUGGCAGACCUGCUGCUCAUCCUUGGGACCUCUCUGGAGGUGGAACCUUUCGCCAGCUUGUCUGAGGCCGUGAGGAGCUCGGUGCCCCGACUGCUCAUCAACCGGGACUUGGUGGGGUCCUUGGCUAGGCAUCCUCGGGGCAGGGAUGUGGUCCAGCUGGGGGACGUGGUUCACGGUGUGAAAAGGCUGGUGGAGCUUCUGGGCUGGACGGAGGAGAUGCGGGACCUCAUCCAGCGGGAAACUGGAAAGGUAGGGACGGCUGAGAGUCAUGGGAGGGGCCAUCUCUUCUACUCUGGGGUCUGGUCAACCUGGAAUGGCGCCCUCUUUGGCUAAAACAGUAACAGUAAUAGGUAAUAUUGCUGUUAACCCUGUACCAGGCACUGUUUGGCGCCAUCUAUGUGCUUAUGAAUCGGGUGCUGUGAUUCUUAAUACCUCUGUUUAGAGAUGAAGAAACUGAUGCUUCGUUCCUGCUGAGUGGCAGAGUGGAGAUGAGGGUCCAGGCAGACAGGGCUGUCGCUCUGCAGUUGUCACACUUCAGCUGUCUUUGUACCCCAAACUAAAGGAGCACUCCAGGAUAAGAUGGGAUUCUGAAGUUCUCUGAACCUGUGUGGGAUGAUGCUUUUAGGAGAUAAUCAGAGUGAGAGGAGUUGACGUAUCAUCUGAGCGUAGAAAGUGAGAGCGCCUUGAUCUCUCUAGAUGGCAAACCUCCUAUAAACAAGUGAAGUUGCAGAAAAUGCAGUUUCCCUUGAGAAUCAGUUAGCAUGUGUAGCCUUGAUGUGAGGGGUUAUUUUCUACAGGGGGCAGCAUUAAGCAUUUUAAGUCCAGUUGUCUCAAAGAGGAUUAUUUAUGAUUACAGCCAGGUAUAACACUGCUGAAAGUGGACUUCACUAGAAUGCUGUAAGUUAUGUUCUUGCUAUCUUGGGAAACCUCUCACCCUUUGGCUGUGGCUGCUUCAGGACUCAGGGCCAUGAGUCAGCCCUUUCCUCUCACCUCCACUGGCAAAAGCCCCCAGCCUCUGGCUACAGCCUGAUUUCUUACCAAUUUGAACCAAAGCAAGAAGAAUAUGAGGCUUUUUAAAGAUAUAAGACUUUGCAGUUAUAUUGUUUUCAUGGUAUUAGACAUCAUUGCCUUUCAAUCCAGAGUUAGGGCUCUUAGGGAUAAGAUGUAGGAUGGUGCCAUUUCUCAUCUCAUUAUAUGGAGGAAAUAAAGACCGUCAAACGUUAAAGUCACGUUGCUGGGCCGCUUAAUGGAAGCAGAGUCCGGCUAAUACGGACGCUUACACUUUACACCGCGAGAGGAACCGUAGCAGAUGCCUUGCUCACAGGGGAGUAGAGAUCUUGGUCAGAUCCGCCUGGCAGCUUACACAGGAGGCUUGGGUGGCUGACUUCCUACUUCCAUAUAACAGCAAGACAAAGUCAAGUAGCCUCUAUAGACGUUUAGAAUUAUAGUCCUAUAGGAUUUGACCUGUGCUAUUUUCUAGUUCCACAGAAAUUUGUGUAAAGUUACGAUUUUAGGGGUUUACUUAUUUUAAAAGAGUUGCUGUCCAAGAAUAAACACUAAGGGAUGAGCUGAAGUCUAAGAUGGAUUACUUUUCCAAACAGUGAACGUACUUCAGUACAUCUUGACUGGUUACUUAAGCGAAGCCCUCCAUUUAGCCACCCAGUUUUGCCCAGCCCUGCUGGCAUCGUCUUAACUUGGUUGAACAGCAGCAUUUGCAGACAGAAAAGCUUCCGUUUUAGGAAAUAAUUCAAUUCCAGGCCCUGAGAUGUGCCCAGGUAUGUUUUCAGAUAACCAGUUUCCUCUCUCCUUUGUGCUCCAGCUUGAUGGUUGGGACAAAUUAGGAGAGUGAGGGCUGCUCCUCACGCCAGAAAUGGCUACAUGGGAGUCACUGCCCACUUCUGACGAGCCCUCUGCCUGAAGAACAGCUCGGGCACGCUUACAAAUUUUGGCUGAACCAGAACAUGCGACCUGAGGCUGCUCCUGGAGUGUCUUCCCAGGGCAUGAGAGUCUGUGCACUUGGGGCCACCCCAGCCACAGAUGUGCAGGAGCUGCCUGGCCUGACUUUUUGCUGAAGCUCUUAAUGCCACAAGCGUUCUUCUGAUGGUCAACCUCUUGGACUCAGACAACCUGGAACCCCAGACUGGACUCCAUCUGAAGGGCAGGUUUAGCAUCUGUCCACUUGGGUCGAGCAGCCCCAGUCACACCCCAAGUGUGGGCCUGGGUCCCAGGCCUUCUUCCAGUAAUGCUGCUAGAAUUAACCUCUAAGACAGAAGGCAGUACUCAUUUGGAAACCUCGCCUGGCUCCCUGACCUGUGCUCAGGCCACACUGCUGUUUGGGCAGAACAUACUGUGAUCUCCCUGCUUCUGUACAGGCCUCUUCUGGGGUUGCCCCAACCCUGCCCCCCCAGUGCUCUCUCCUUCCUGGCAUCUUGUCUUCCCCACUGGGCCGGAGCAGAUCUCACCGACAGACUCCUCAGGAGACCUGGUGGCCUCACUCUUCAAGAACAAGACAUGCGGGCUUCCCUGGUGGCAAAGUGGUUCAGAGUCCGCCUGCCGAUGCAGGGGACACGGGUUUGUGCCCCGGUCGGGGAAGAUCCCGCAUGCCGCGGA